UGUCACUUGAUGACGUCAUCAGGAUGGAGCUUGAGUCACGUGACAGGAUUGUGGCGUGAGCGGGAGGGCAGAAGAGAAGAGCAGAGCUGACAAAGUCAUUCGACAUGUUGCUGUCUGCUUGGUCGCUGCUCGUCAUCGCCGUGGCAGGCGCCAGCGGUGACGAGUUGGAGGCAGUCACGAGCGAAGUGUUGGCCUCAGAAGGCGAACAGGUCACACUGUCGUACGAUUACGCCAAUAAAGCUGCAGGUUCUGAUUAUUUCUUCUGGUUCCGACAACUUCCUGGACAACCGCCCAACUUCCUGCUCUCUCACUUGGGAAGCGGCAGCCAGUUAAACGCCAAGUCAGGAAUGUCGGCGAGCGUCGCAAGUGACGGGAGGCGAGUGCACCUGCACAUCGAGGAUGCGACACUUGAGCACUCUGCAGUGUACUACUGUGCAGUGAGGCCCACAGUGACACAAGCGCCACGUUCUCCGUACCAGAACCCAAACGCAUCACAUCCCACUGCGCUGUCGUAGCUUACAAAAAGUCUCCACAUCCAUUGCGUAAAAUCUUUUCCGUUGUAUGAAUGAGAGCAUUUCUCACUGAAGUGUGAAAGGAUUUUAGUUUAU